rnacentral:rRNA from 1 species
CGAACGCUGGCGGCGUGCCUAAUACAUGCAAGUAGAACGCUGAAGAGAGGAGCUUGCUCUUCUUGGAUGAGUUGCGAACGGGUGAGUAACGCGUAGGUAACCUGCCUUGUAGCGGGGGAUAACUAUUGGAAACGAUAGCUAAUACCGCAUAACAAUGGAUGACACAUGUCAUUUAUUUGAAAGGGGCAAUUGCUCCACUACAAGAUGGACCUGCGUUGUAUUAGCUAGUAGGUGAGGUAACGGCUCACCUAGGCGACGAUACAUAGCCGACCUGAGAGGGUGAUCGGCCACACUGGGACUGAGACACGGCCCAGACUCCUACGGGAGGCAGCAGUAGGGAAUCUUCGGCAAUGGGGGCAACCCUGACCGAGCAACGCCGCGUGAGUGAAGAAGGUUUUCGGAUCGUAAAGCUCUGUUGUAAGUCAAGAACGAGUGUGAGAGUGGAAAGUUCACACUGUGACGGUAGCUUACCAGAAAGGGACGGCUAACUACGUGCCAGCAGCCGCGGUAAUACGUAGGUCCCGAGCGUUGUCCGGAUUUAUUGGGCGUAAAGCGAGCGCAGGCGGUUUGAUAAGUCUGAAGUUAAAGGCUGUGGCUCAACCAUAGUUCGCUUUGGAAACUGUCAAACUUGAGUGCAGAAGGGGAGAGUGGAAUUCCAUGUGUAGCGGUGAAAUGCGUAGAUAUAUGGAGGAACACCGGUGGCGAAAGCGGCUCUCUGGUCUGUAACUGACGCUGAGGCUCGAAAGCGUGGGGAGCGAACAGGAUUAGAUACCCUGGUAGUCCACGCCGUAAACGAUGAGUGCUAGGUGUUGGAUCCUUUCCGGGAUUCAGUGCCGCAGCUAACGCAUUAAGCACUCCGCCUGGGGAGUACGACCGCAAGGUUGAAACUCAAAGGAAUUGACGGGGGCCCGCACAAGCGGUGGAGCAUGUGGUUUAAUUCGAAGCAACGCGAAGAACCUUACCAGGUCUUGACAUCCCGAUGCUAUUUCUAGAGAUAGAAAGUUACUUCGGUACAUCGGUGACAGGUGGUGCAUGGUUGUCGUCAGCUCGUGUCGUGAGAUGUUGGGUUAAGUCCCGCAACGAGCGCAACCCCUAUUGUUAGUUGCCAUCAUUCAGUUGGGCACUCUAGCGAGACUGCCGGUAAUAAACCGGAGGAAGGUGGGGAUGACGUCAAAUCAUCAUGCCCCUUAUGACCUGGGCUACACACGUGCUACAAUGGUUGGUACAACGAGUUGCGAGUCGGUGACGGCAAGCUAAUCUCUUAAAGCCAAUCUCAGUUCGGAUUGUAGGCUGCAACUCGCCUACAUGAAGUCGGAAUCGCUAGUAAUCGCGGAUCAGCACGCCGCGGUGAAUACGUUCCCGGGCCUUGUACACACCGCCCGUCACACCACGAGAGUUUGUAACACCCGAAGUCGGUGAGGUAACCUUUUGGAGCCAGCCGCCUAAGG